GGCGAGUGAGCGGCAAAAGCUCAAAUUUGAAAUCUGGUACCUUUGGUGCCCGAGUUGUAAUUUGGAGAGUACCACUUUGGGACUGUACUUUGCCUAUGUUCCUUGGAACAGGACGUCAUGGAGGGUGAGAAUCCCGUGUGGCGAGGGUGUCAGUUCUUUGUAAAGGGUGCUCGAAGAGUCGAGUUGUUUGGGAAUGCAGCUCUAAGUGGGUGGUAAAUUCCAUCUAAAGCUAAAUACAGGCGAGAGACCGAUAGCGAACAAGUACAGUGAUGGAAAGAUGAAAAGAACUUUGAAAAGAGAGUGAAAAAGUACGUGAAAUUGUUGAAAGGGAAGGGCAUUUGAUCAGACAUGGUGUUUUGCGCCCCUUGCCUCUCGUGGGCUUGGGACUCUCGCAGCUCACUGGGCCAGCAUCGGUUUUGGCGGCCGGAAAAAACCUAGGGAAUGUGGCUCUGCGCCUCGGUGUAGAGUGUUAUAGCCCUGGGGAAUACGGCCAGCCGGGACCGAGGACUGCGAUACUUGUUAUCUAGGAUGCUGGCAUAAUGGUUAUAUGCCGCCCGUCUU
rnacentral:rRNA from 1 species